GCGCUCGUAGCUCAAUUGGAUAGAGCAUCUGAUUACGGAUCAGAAGGUUGGGGGUUCGAGUCCCUUCGAGCGCGCCA
rnacentral:tRNA from 1 species